rnacentral:rRNA from 1 species
AUGAAUCAACUACUCUCAUGGUCAGUCCCAUCCCAUCUAGCAUUAUUUACCGUCUAUUUGUCUGUAUGUAUUUACUUUGGAAAAAAUUCAGUCUGCACAUCUGCAUCUGCAUUGCACAAGUACAGAUACAUCCACCCCUGCUAUUUUCUUGUUAUACAUUACAUAGAUGCAUACAUACGCCAGGCUAUUUCGUCUGUCUGUCUGACCUCUCAAGGAUGCAUAUCUCGUUCGUAUGUACUGCAUUUUGUAACAAUUUCGUUUUCCUCAAUACUUACAGGAUGCUGCGCUCGCUACUUACAUGUUUUCUGA